rnacentral:rRNA from 1 species
UACGUAGGUCCCGAGCGUUGUCCGGAUUUAUUGGGCGUAAAGCGAGCGCAGGUGGUUUAAUAAGUCUGAUGUAAAAGGCAGUGGCUCAACCAUUGUGUGCAUUGGAAACUGUUAGACUUGAGUGCAGUAGAGGAGAGUGGAAUUCCAUGUGUAGCGGUGAAAUGCGUAGAUAUAUGGAGGAACACCGGUGGCGAAAGCGGCUCUCUGGACUGUCACUGACACUGAGGCGCGAAAGCGUGGGGAGCAAACAGG